rnacentral:tRNA from 1 species
GGGGAUAUGGCUCAGUUGGUAGAGUGUUUGCCUCACAUGCACAAGGCCCCGGGUUCAAUCCCCAGCACUACUA